ensembl:lncRNA
AUGACAACGGAUGGAAGAAAAGAUCUACAGCAGAGGCCAGGACCAGGGAGAAUCAAGACCAGAUGGCGAGCCAGAGCCACAGGGCAGAGUAGCGUCAGGACAACUUUCGCCACCAGAGGGAGCUCAGCUGGUCUAGAUCAGAGCAAGCCAAAGAUGAAUGUCCCAACAGCUGCAGAGAAAGAAAGAGGGCUCACGAGCAGAGAGUAUCAGGGGUCUUCACCAUAUCAGAGUCAUGAAGGGGGCAUUUGGUUUGUAUGGGUAGAGGCGUGGCCCGUGGAAAAGUCGUCCCCAUAUCCGCUUAAAUCCAUUAGGUCUGUCCUGAGAAGCAAUCCACAUGCGAAGGGUUUUUCGGAGUUGAAGUUCCUCUGCGUCUGUCCCUACACGACACAACUACCUCUACUGCACCCCCACUGCGUCAGUCCGACAUAUGAUGCCAGGGCAGCUGCGUAUUGCCUGCCGGCCCUGGUCACAUUUAGAGGCGAUAGAACCAAAAGGGAUUCCAGGAUGUUGUGUGGACCCUUUUAAAGUCAAAUUGUUGACUCCUCUGUAACGAUUCUUACAAAGCUACAAGGAAAGCCUCUACUUUGAUGGGAUUUAGGAAGGUACCUCAUUGAAUUUAAGUCGUGUUUGGAAUUGUGAACCAUAUACUUGCAAACACAUUUUCCAGUAUUGAAUGUUGGGGAUUGUCAUGGGCAUCGGGGUGGGAGGGGUGUGGGCUGUUAACCCAAUCUUUUCCUAGACUUUGCAGCUUGUGAAAGCGGCUUUAUUUAAGGGUGGCAGUGGCUUGAAUAGCGCUGUAUGGGGGAAGGAACCACCAGUGUGUCUGCCAGUGGAUGAGUGGCCCUGUUAAAAGCCUUCCAUGGCAGCUAGACCAGCGUUUACAUCUUUGGUAACGCGGCAUGGGAUCAAACGCUUCACCACACAUUAUGGCAACACACAUUAUGGCAUUCUUUUGUCUCAUAAUUGAAUGGUAUAUCGAUAUUGGUUGUGUAUUGAUAUUGUGCUAUGGGGUUUGUGGAUCUGGGGGGGAUUGCUUUAAUUUUUACUCUUACAGAUUGAAACAAACCCUCAAAGAACAAAGCUGGUGGUCCAACCAAUAUCUGCUCCCCUCCCCCACUUAAGGAGCAAAGCUACUUCAAUAGAGGCCAAGAUGCUUUUUAGGUUUUCUAAUGGCAAGUAAUUGGGUAUUCAUGUAAAUGACAUUCACUUGCUUUUGUCUGUCAUUGUAUUGUACUUGGAUACAACUUGAUGGCUAAGUGUCUAAGCAGUAAUUGUAUUAGUUGCUUAUUGUUUGGUUAUGUUUUUGUAUUUUAAAGAGUGGGGAUGUGUGUAGGCUUUCUUUUCCUCCCCCUUUGCAUUUUCAGUGUGCCGUGUCCCUGAAUGCUUUCAACUUAAGAUGUCCUCCUAACAUUGUAUGUAAAGAUUUGCUUUCACAUCAAUCAACUUCAGCCUCUUUUGGUCACGUAAGGUCACUAAGCAAGCCCAUUUGUUCCUAACCUUUUUCCAUUAAUAGUCUGUUAUAAUUGUAAGCUGUGUGGUUGAGCACUUUUUACAAAUUAGCUUUUGUAAUUUGUAUGCAAGUGUACAUUCUGUAAUUGUUCCCAUUUUCAGUUAAUAAAUGCAUAGCUUGUUGUGAUUGAAAUAUUUUG